rnacentral:rRNA from 1 species
UACGUAGGGGGGCGAGCGUUGUCCGGAUUUAUUGGGCGUAAAGAGCUCGUAGGUGGUUCGGUAAGUCGGAUGUGAAAUCUCCAGGCUCAACCUGGAGGGGUCAUUCGAUACUGCCGUGACUAGAGUUCGGUAGGGGAGUGUGGAAUUCCUGGUGGAGCGGUGAAAUGCGCAGAUAUCAGGAGGAACACCCGUGGCGAAAGCGGCUCUCUGGAACGGUACUGACGCUGAGACGCGAAAGCGUGGGGAGCGAACAGG